UACAAGUACACUGGCAAACUCCCACUGGGU
rnacentral:piRNA from 1 species